CCCGGAAGCGUGAGGCCACACCACUGGACAAAUACCAGCCACCGCCGCCGCCGCCGCCACCACCACCACGGGAGGCAGGAGGUCUGGAGCCUCAGACCUUUCCCCAUGGGCCUGGGCCUUUCCUUGCUGAACUUGAGAAGUCAACACAGACCAUCUUGGGCCAGCAGCGGCCUUCUCUUUCUCAAACAACCCCCUUCGGGGAGCUCACUGGGUCUCUGAAGUCAGGCUCACCGUACUGCCACACCACAGCGAGGGGCCCUGACCCAGCAUACAUCUAUGAUGAGUUUCUUCAGCAGCGACGGAGGCUGGUCAGCAAGCUGGACCUGGAAGAGCGCAGGCGGCGCGAGGCUCAGGAGAAAGGGUACUACUAUGACCUCGAUGACUCUUACGA
rnacentral:lncRNA from 1 species